rnacentral:rRNA from 1 species
GACGAACGCUGGCGGUGUGCUUAACACAUGCAAGUCGAACGGUAAGGCCCUUUCGGGGGUACACGAGUGGCGAACGGGUGAGUAACACGUGAGUAACCUGCCCUCAUCUCUGGGAUAACAGUCGGAAACGGUUGCUAAUACUGGAUAUGAGCCUGCAAGGCAUCUUGUGGGUUGGAAGGAUUUUUUGGUUGGGGAUGGACUCGCGGCCUAUCAGCUUGUUGGUGAGGUAGUGGCUCACCAAGGCUUCGACGGGUAGCCGGCCUGAGAGGGCGACCGGCCACAUUGGGACUGAGAUACGGCCCAAACUCCUACGGGAGGCAGCAGUGGGGAAUAUUGCACCAUGGACGGAAGGCUGAUGCAGCAACGCCGCGUGCGGGAUGACGGCCUUCGGGUUGUAAACCGCUUUCAAUUGUGACGAAGCUUUUUGUGACGGUAGCAGUAGAAGAAGCACCGGCUAACUACGUG